rnacentral:lncRNA from 1 species
GUCUCCUUCCAUAGUGUGGAAGCUUUGUUCUUUCACUCUUUGCGAUAAAUCUUGCUGCUGCUCACUCUUUGGGUCCACACUGCCUUUAUGAGCUGUAACAUUCACCGCGAAGGUCUGCAGCUUCACUCCUGAGGCCAGCGAGACCACGAGCCCACCAGAAGGAAGAAACUCCGAACACGUCCGAACAUCAGAAGGAACAAACUCUGGACACACCACCUUUAAGAACUGUAACACUCACUGCGAGGGUCCGCAGCUUCAUUCUUGAAGUCAGUGAGACCAAGAACCCACCAAUUCCAGACACACCAUGUUAACUGUAUCUGCAAAACAGAGCCGUGGGACCUCUGGAAGUCUGACCAACCUAUUUCCAACUGUGCUUCUAGAAGCAUGUUCUGUCUUCAGAAUCUGGUUGGCAUCAAUGCUGAGACCUAAACCACAAGCAUGAGGCCCUCACCAGACUCCACCAGAAGUGGCCACCCAAUAUUGAACUUCCCAGCCUUCAGAAUUAUAAUACUCAUUCUCCGGGCAGCAGACAAAAGACUUGGAGACAUACACAGCUGAAGGAAAUGAAAAGGCAACAAGGCUAAGAGAACAAAGAUGAGCAUUGCCACGGUCCGGAGGAUGGUGGUGGAGGAAGCCUUCUCUACGCUGGUGCCUCUAUUGGAACUUUCAGGAAAUGAACAUGAACAUUGCCCUGAGAUCAUCUUGUGAGGCAGCUGGUCUAGCCUCCUGGAGGAGAAGCAGUUUUGUGGAGAAGAUUCCAGGCAUCCCUGCCAACAAGCACCAACUCCAGAUAUAUGAGGAAGAGUAGUUUACAACUGACACUGUUUGGAAUUGCUGGCACAUGGUGAUAAUCAAAGAGGCUGUUGAACUGCAUGGAAUCACAGGAAGGACUUUUGCUUAUUGUCAGUCUCUUGCUCUUUCUCACUCCUGCCCUCCUGUCCUCUCCCUUCCUUGUCUUCUUCCC